rnacentral:rRNA from 1 species
CCUACGGGAGGCAGCAGUGAGGAAUAUUGGACAAUGGGCGAGAGCCUGAAGCAGCGAAGCAGCGGGAAGGAGGAAGGCCCUACGGGUUGUAAACUUCAUUUAUAAAGGAAUAAAGUGAGGCACGUGUGCCUUUUUGUAUGUACUUUAUGAAUAAGGAUCGGCUAACUCCGUGCCAGCAGCCGCGGUAAUACGGAGGAUCCGAGCGUUAUCCGGAUUUAUUGGGUUUAAAGGGAGCGUAGAGGGGUUGUUAAGUCAGUUGUGAAAGUUUUCGGCUCAACCGUGAAAUUGCAAUUGAUACUGGCAGUCUUGAGUACAGUUGAGGUAGGCGGAAUUCGUGGUGUAGCGGUGACAUGCUUAGAUAUCACGAAGAACUCCGAUUGCGAAGGCAGCUUACUAAACUGCCACUGACAUUGAUGCUCGAAAGUGUGGGUAUCAAACAGGAUUAGAUACCCGAGUAGUC